UACGUAGGGUGCAAGCGUUGUCCGGAAUUAUUGGGCGUAAAGAGCUCGUAGGCGGUCUGUCACGUCGGAUGUGAAAAUCCAGGGCUUAACCCUGGACCUGCAUUCGAUACGGGCAGACUAGAGUUCGGUAGGGGAGACUGGAAUUCCUGGUGUAGCGGUGAAAUGCGCAGAUAUCAGGAGGAAUACCGGUGGCGAAGGCGGCAUCCUGGACCAUAACUGACGCUGAGGCGCGAAAGCUAGGGGAGCAAACGGG
rnacentral:rRNA from 1 species